rnacentral:piRNA from 1 species
UACCAAUUCCUCAGUUAAGUAAACGGUGGU